AUUGAACGCUGGCGGCAUGCCUUACACAUGCAAGUCGAACGGUAACGCGGGGCAACCUGGCGACGAGUGGCGAACGGGUGAGUAAUGUAUCGGAACGUGCCCAGUUGUGGGGGAUAACUGCUCGAAAGAGCAGCUAAUACCGCAUACGACCUGAGGGUGAAAGCGGGGGAUCGCAAGACCUCGCGCAGUUGGAGCGGCCGAUAUCAGAUUAGGUAGUGGGUGGGGUAAAGGCUCACCAAGCCAACGAUCUGUAGCUGGUCUGAGAGGACGACCAGCCACACUGGGACGGAGACACGGCCCAGACUCCUACGGGAGGCAGCAGUGGGGAAUUUUGGACAAUGGGCGCAAGCCUGAUCCAGCCAUGCCGCGUGCGGGAAGAAGGCCUUCGGGUUGUAAACCGCUUUUGUCAGGGAAGAAAAGACUCCUGUUAAUACCGGGGGUUCAUGACGGUACCUGAAGAAUAAGCACCGGCUAACUACGUGCCAGCCGCCGCAGUAAUAC
rnacentral:rRNA from 1 species